AGAGAGGAUGCCGAAAAUCUCAUAUAGAGUAGGCG
rnacentral:ncRNA from 1 species